GAGUCUGACACAACUGACAGACUUUCACUAGUUACAUUGAGAGAACCAAGUCUCUGGACCCUGAAUUUAUCUGCCAUUCGCUCUGAGGAUCUGCAGGAAAGGGCUUGGAUUUGUGAAGGGGAAGCUGUCUGCAGCUGAGACACCUGGAAGGACCAACAGCUGGGGGCUGUGUGCUGACAACAUGCCCAGCAGCUGCAGCAACAAGUUUUCCAUUAAAGUGGGAUCUGGAUGGCAGGACUCGAUGAUCAAAUGCAGUCACUAUUGUGCAUCACAGGAGAUGGGAAAGGCAGACAGUGGGGCUUCAACAUGCAGGGUGCAGGCCAGGGCCCCUACACCAUCUGUUUAAUCCACCACAAGUGUGUCCAGCAGCUUCAGCCAAAACAGGCAGGAGAUGUCCUUUCGUACAAGGUGAUCAAAGGUCCACGUGCACUGAUGGAAGCCGAGGGCACACUCAGAUGCAGAGCUGACCUGAGAAACCGUCCAGAGACACCCCGUGGUUCUUGGGAAGCGGGAUUGGGAGGGUGAAGCAUGCCUUACAGUCACUUGCUGCCACGUUCAUUUCUCUGUGAAUGGGGGCCUUUAGCCUGAAGGUCUUGGUGUUUGUGGGUUCCCCAGCUCCCCUGACCUCACUGGCACAGAGGGUCUCAUCUUCCUAUGAACCUGACACUAGUGUUACUAAUGCCAUAUCUAUUCAUUCCACUCAUCGACUAUGUAUUGAAUGUCUUACUGUGUUUACAAGACAUUGGGAAUAAAACAAGGAACUGCUCCUGCCCUCUUGAUUCUUAUGAUCGGUGGGGAAGAUCUUGUUAUUCACAGCCUUGUCGUGCUGAAGGGGCUUGCAUAACUCAAGGAAGCUAUGAGCCAUACUGGGCAGGGCUACCCAAGAUGGACAGGGGUCAUAGUGAAGGGUUCUGACAAAACGGGGUCCACUGGAGGAGGGAUGGCAAACCAGUCCAGUGUUCUUGCCGUGAGAACCUCAUGAACAGUAUGAAAAGAUGAGGAAGAUAGGCAUUCAUUAAUUCAUAAAAAUGUAAAGAUGCAACUAUGAUCAAUGUCUCAAAAGUAAAGAACUUGGUGCGGGAAUUCAGUCUAAAAGAAGCACCUGCCUCAGUGAGGGGGUAUCAGGAAUUCAGCUGAGUGGAAAAAGACAAGCAAGAUUAACCAGGUGAAGAGCAGAAUGAGGGACAUUCCAGGCGAGAAGGAACAGAAUGUGCAAAGGCUCAUCGGGAGGUGGUUGCUGCUGUUUAAUCACUAAGUCGUGUCGGAUUCUUCUGCAACUCUGUGGACUGCAGCCCACCAGGCUCGGAAGCAUGUAACGAGGGACUAAAGAAAAAGGCAGUGUAACCGGAAGAGGGAGAAGGAGGACUUCUGAAAAUCUAGUGGAACCACGGCAGCUGAGAACUAACGUAGCAACAGUAGAUUUGAAGAAAAGGGCAAUUGGAGAGAAAACAGAAGGGAUUUGAUGAUAAUUUGGGCAUCAGUUGAGAGAAAAGGAAAAAUCAAAAAUGACUCCUAUGCUCUCAAGCUGAAUCCGUUAAGUGGUAACAUGCAUGGAUUCAGGAAAGUCUCAUGACUGUGUGUCGUGUUGGGGGAAGAUGUGUGGUGUGGGAGGCUGUGUGUCAUGUUGGGAGUUCGAGGGGCUUUUCUGGGAGGAGGAAAUUCAGGAAUUUUGUUUGGGUUGCACUAAGUUCAAGUGUUCUCUGUGACACCCUAAUGAAUAAAUCAGGGAGUUGAAGUGGAUCCGGACUCAGAAGAAAGGCCUGGGCUUUAGAAAAAUUUGAAAACGACCACUAUCAAAAUGGUACUUAAACAGAGAAGAACGGAAACACUCACCUAGGAGAAAGUUAAUAUCUAAGCCUCAGGGAGCCUUAACAGGUUUGAAGUUUGGUAAAGAAGGAGGAGGGCUUCCCUGGUGGCUCACUGGUAAAGAAUCUGCCUGCAAUGCAGGAGA